GCAAUUCUCAUCAUGUUCACUUUAGUGCAGGUUGGAGGAAGCUACUGGUCUGGCAUUCAGAUUUGUGAUCGGCAAAAGCAAUGACAAGUCUAAGAUGGCAGCUCUUGAAAGAGAGGUUGAAGAAUAUGAUGAUUUUGUGCUUUUAGAUCUUGAGGAGGAGUAUAGCAGGCUUCCAUACAAAACGUUAGCAUUCUUUAAGGCUGCCUAUGCGUUGUUCGAUUCUGAUUUCUAUGUUAAAGCUGAUGAUGACAUUUACUUGAGACCAGUUUAGGGGUACAUAAAACAUACGGUGUACAAGUUGAGGGAACAAGAGCGCAAUUCAUACCAUAUGUUUUUUUGUAUUUGCGAACGCUCACCUGGGCAAUUAUACUGUGUAGCACU